rnacentral:rRNA from 1 species
UCUGGUUGAUUCUGCCAGUAGUCAUACGCUCGUCUCAAAGAUUAAGCCAUGCACGUCUAAGUAUAAAUAUUUUACUUUGAAACUGCGAAUGGCUCAUUAUAUCAGUUACAGUUUAUUUGAUAGUCCCUUACUAUUUGGAUAACCGUAGUAAUUCUAGAGCUAAUACAUGCGUCAAUACCCUUCUGGGGUAGUAUUUAUUAGAUUGAAACCAACCGCUUCGGCGUGAUGUGGUGAUCCAUAAUAAGCUAGCGGAUCGCAUGGCUUUGCCGGCGAUGGGUCAUUCAAGUUUCUGCCCUAUCAGCUUUGGAUUGGUGGGUAUUGGCCACCAAUGGCUUUAACGGGUAACGGGAAAUUGGGGUUUGAUUCCGGAGAGGGGGCCUGAGAGACGGCCACCACAUCCAAGGAAGGCAGCAGGCGCGUAAAUUACCCAAUCAUGACACAUGGAGGUAGUGACAAUAAAUAACAAUGCCGGGCCUUUGUAGGUCUGGCAAUUGGAAUGAGAACAAUUCAAACCCCUUAUCGAGGAUCAAUUGGAGGGCAAGUCUGGUGCCAGCAGCCGCGGUAAUUCCAGCUCCAAUAGCGUAUACUAAAGUUGUUGCAGUUAAAAAGCUCGUAGUUGGAUUUAUGGCGGUUCCCGGGGUCCAAUUUUUGGUACAUUCGGGGACUGCCAUCCUUGGGUGGAACCUGUGUGGAAUUAAGUUUUCGUGCAGAGGAUGCCCAUCGUUUACUGUGAAAAAAUCAGAGUGCUUCAAGCAGGCUUAUGCCGUUGAAUACAUUAGCAUGGAAUAAUAAAAUACGACUUCGGUACUAUUUUUUUGGUUUGCGCACCGAUGUAAUAAUUAAUAGGGACAAUUGGGGGUAUUCGUAUUCCGUUGUCAGAGGUGAAAUUCUUGGAUUUCCGGAAGACGAACUACUUCGAAAGCAUUUACCAAGGAUGUUUUCAUCAAUCAAGAACGAAAGUUAGGGGAUCGAAGAUGAUUAGAUACCAUCGUAGUCUUAACCAUAAACUAUGCCGACAAGGGAUUGGUGGGGCUUCGUUACGUCUCCAUCAGCACCUUAUGAGAAAUCACAAGUUUUUGGGUUCCGGGGGGAGUAUGGUCGCAAGGCUGAAACUUAAAGAAAUUGACGGAAGGGCACCACCAGGAGUGGAGCCUGCGGCUUAAUUUGACCCAACACGGGAAAACUUACCAGGUCCAGACAUAGUGAGGAUUGACAGAUUGAGAGCUCUUUCUUGAUUCUAUGGGUGGUGGUGCAUGGCCGUUCUUAGUUGGUGGAGUGAUUUGUCUGGUUAAUUCUGUUAACGAACGAGACCCCUGCCUGCUAAAUAGUCCAGUGAG